UACGUAGGGGGCUAGCGUUGUCCGGAAUCAUUGGGCGUAAAGAGCGUGUAGGCGGCUUGGUAAGUCCGCUGUGAAAGUCCAGGGCUCAACCCUGGAAUGCCAGUGGAUACUGUCAAGCUAGAGUCCGGAAGAGGCGAGUGGAAUUCCUGGUGUAGCGGUGAAAUGCGCAGAUAUCAGGAGGAACACCAAUGGCGAAGGCAGCUCGCUGGGACGGUACUGACGCUGAGGCACGAAAGCGUGGGGAGCAAACAGG
rnacentral:rRNA from 1 species